GACGAACGCUGGCGGCGUGCCCAAUACAUGCAAGUCGAGCGCAGGAAACUGACGGAACUCUUCGGAGGGAAGGCAGCGGAAUGAGCGGCGGACGGGUGAGUAACACGUAAGGAACCUGCCUCAAGGAUUGGGAUAACUCCGAGAAAUCGGAGCUAAUACCGGAUAGUUCAACGGACCGCAUGGUCCGCUGAUGAAAGGCGCUCCGGCGUCACCUUGAGAUGGCCUUGCGGUGCAUUAGCUAGUUGGUGGGGUAGCGGCCCACCAAGGCGACGAUGGAUAGCCGAACUGAGAGGGGGAUCGGCCACACUGGGACUGAGACACGGCCCAGACUUCUACGGGAGGCAGCAGUAGGGAAUCUUCCACAAUGGACGAAAGUCUGAUGGAGCAAAGCCGCGUGAGUGAUGAAGGUUUUCGGAUCGUAAAACUCUGUUAUAAGGGAAGAACACGUACGAGAGGGAAUGCUCGUACCUUGACGGUACCUUACGAGAAAGCCACGGCUAACUACGUGCCAGCCGCCGCCGUAACAC
rnacentral:rRNA from 1 species